rnacentral:rRNA from 1 species
GAGUCUAGCAUGCGCGCGAGUCAUCGGGAACGACUAAACCCGUAGGCGCAGUGAAAGCGAAGGGCCGCCUCGCGCGGCCCUAGGGAGGAUGGACGCUGCGUACGCGCGCGCCCCGCACUCCCGGGGCGUCUCGUGCUCAUCGCGAGCUGAGGCGCACCUAGAGCGUGCACGCUGGGACCCGAAAGAUGGUGAACUAUGCCUGGUCAGGACGAAGUCAGGGGAAACCCUGAUGGAGGUCCGUAGCGAUUCUGACGUGCAAAUCGAUCGUCGGAACUGGGUAUAGGGGCGAAAGACUAAUCGAACCAUCUAGUAGCUGGUUCCCUCCGAAGUUUCCCUCAGGAUAGCUGGCGCCCAGUGCGUUUCGAGUCUCAUCCGGUAAAGCGAAUGAUUAGAGGCAUUGGGGUCGAAACGGCCUCAACCUAUUCUCAAACUUUAAAUGGGUGAGAUCUCCGGCCUGCUUGAAAAACGAGGCCGGAGAUCGGAUCAGGGUGCCAAGUGGGCCACUUUUGGUAAGCAGAACUGGCGCUGUGGGAUGAACCAAACGCAGAGUUAAAGCGCCAAAAUCGACGCUAAUUUGACACCAUGAAAGGCGUUGGUAACUUAAGACAGCAGGACGGUGGCCAUGGAAGUCGGA